rnacentral:lncRNA from 1 species
AGUUGAACCUCCACAUGGAGAAAGAAAGACUGAAGAGGGCUGAAGAGCUGGAUUCCCUUCGAGGUCGACAAAGUCAACUCCAGGUGAAGAGGCUGCAGCUGUUGUUGACCACUCGGGGAACGCUGUAUAAUCACGAGCUGAAGAAGAAGGAGCAAGAGCUACGGAAGCUCAAAGAGAGAGUCCAGCUGGGAGAACGGAGGGACAAAAGGGC